CUCAAGUGACACAGCCAGUAGCCCAAUUCCAGGCAUGGCCCAGGGAGUUAGGGAAAAAAAAAGCCCUUUCAUGUACACACUUCUAUGUUCUUUCCUCUUCAGAUAAUGCAACUUUGGAAGCCAUACAACGGAGCUGCAAGAUGGAAGGAGGCUGGGCCUUCAAUCACUCUUUGGAGAAGAGCUACCCCACUCUUUAGGUGUGCCAUUGAGAAUUAGUGUAAGUGACAAACUUCUAUUGUAUUUGUGCUAUCAUACAUUUGGGGGUUUACUUUUAUAGCAUUAAUUAAUUUAGAAAGCACACGUUAUGUACAGCAUCUGGCAUGUGUUGUCUGUCACGUGGUAAGGUUCGAUAAAUAAGAGCACUCUUCUGCCUGAGAACAGCAUUUUUUUAUCAGAUUGGAUGAAGAGUCAAUAUCACACUUGCUAAUGCUGUAUUUCUGUCAUCUGUGUGUGUGAACCUCAAUUCCCCAAUAAAUCAAGCAGAGGUAGCAAUACAACUUCCUCACUAGAAUUAUUGAGAAAUAAGUAAAUAUUAAGCAGAAGGUGGAAGUACAUGUUUAAGAAAGAAUAUUCCAGAAAUACCAGAUGAUGCCAGGCAGGACAGGGAAGACGGAAGUAAACUGGAAACAAUCUUUCUUGAAAGCAACACAAGUAGUCAGACUGUUAUCAGACAAGGAGGCCAGAAGUAAUUUUCCCUUAGAAGUAUGUGUUAGUCAGCUUUUCACUGAUGUGACCAAAAUACCCAACAAAAACAACUUAGAGGAGGAAAAGUGUAUUUUGUCUCAUGGUUUCAGAGGUUUGGUCGGUGGUGGGCCAACUCCAUUGCUCUAGGCCAAAGGUGAGGCAGAACAUCAUGGUGGAAGGGCGUGGAAGGGGAGCACUGCUCUACCUGUGGCAGCCAGGAAGCAGAGAAAGAAGGAGGAGCCCGGGAGACAAGGAAGAUGUAAUCCCUGCGGGCAUGCCCCCUGGUGACCCACCUCCUUCAGUCACAUUCCACCUGCCUCCAGUUACCACCCAGUUAGUCUUUUCAAAUUAUUAAUCUAUCAAGUGGGUUAAUCCACUGAUUAGGUGACAGCUCUCAUAACAUACUCAUUUCACCUCCUGCAUUUACAGAGGAGAUUUUUUUUAGGGGAUACCUGAUAUCCAAACCAUAACAAAGUUCUUUUGUGAAGUGUGCUCACAGCUAUGCAUGAGAAAUGUACAUUCAGUCAUUCCAUAAAGAUGGGCCUUUGUCCAUGAAGUGCAGUCUCAGGGCAGGCUUAGGACCAGAGGACGUGGGACUGCAUGGCACAGUCCAAAUGUCCAAACCUAGCAUUUUAUUAGAUACAAGGGCUCAGGGGAGUGAGGAAUAGCACUUCCCCUGCUGACCAUACUGUGUGAUGGGAAGAUGUGGCAUCUCUGUAUUCACUGCUAUACCCCCCACCCCACCCCACCGCCUCUGGUGCCUCUGAUACCUCUGGUAUCUUGCUUUUUGCCUGUCUUUGACACUUCCCCCCGACUUGUCUCAUGAGGCUACACCCACACAGACCCUAGAGUAGGUUCUGUGAUCUGUGGACCCAGAGAGUUCUGAGAGCUAGUUAGGGUGGCAGUCAUUCUCAUCCAUGGGGAUAGUCUGACUCCUGUCCCAGCACCCAAGGAGCUCAGGGACAGGCAUCUGAGAACUGGAAUCCAACUGGGGCAAAUGACAGUAAAGCAAUAUUUCAGGCCAGGCCUAGGAACAGGGUUUGAGGUAGAACAGGCUCUGAAGGGGCACCGAGAGGUGGAGUACUCUCUACUUGAGAAGACAGAGGGUGCCAGACAUGAGAUACAGGAAGAGGAAGGAAGAGUCAAUGUUGAGGUUGAGGAUGGGAAGAAUCUGCCUAUGGUAAAGAACUGGGAUGAGGAGUGGGGGGCAAUGGUUGGGUAACAUGAAUGGGGCCAGAUUCUGGAGGAUCCUGAAUGCCAGGCCGAGAAGGCCUGUGUCAGACAAGACUCCACAGGGAACUCACCCCACGCUGGUCAACCCAUCCUGCCAGGCCCUUCCCCCGGGGUGGCUGGUGUAGGCCUCCUGGCCCCAUCUGCUCGGCACAUCUUUCACUUCAGCUUAGCUCAGCACAUCUCCUUGUUCCUCCCCGACUCCUCCUGGCUUAAGCCAUUCCUCCAGGCAGAGAGGCAUCUGGGGUCUAGGUCACCUCUCUGCUGCUGCUUCCCCACAGAACAAGGCCUCUCCCACUGCGAGUCCUCCAGACAGGGCCUGCCACUCCCUCUGCAUCUCUCCAACCGAUUGGACCAGCCCAUCACACACUUAAGACUUCCCCUUCCAGUGGCUGUGUUCAGUUUUAACCAGGAGAAUUCAGAGCUACCUAGUCCAUACCUCCUUGUUCUAGCUCCCUUCUGCUUGACCACCUUGCUUUUGUUACCCAAAGUCAGUCUCUCUCUCUCUCUCUCUCUCUCUCUCUUUACAAAUGGCUUUGCAGCAGACCUGGGAGUGCACAGCAGCACCAAUAAUGUCUCCAUGGUUCCUUGUUAGCUGCACUCUAAGCAGGAAAGUGACUAGGCCUGACAAUAUAAUUUACAUUGCUGUAUAAAACUAUCUGUGGAAGCCAAGCUAAUUUGUGCCAGAUUAGGCUAUUUGUCUCAGCCACUGUCUAGCAGCACAAUCUAUCAGAGGGCUGUUUUCAAAUAUCGCUUUUCAAGCGUGCCCUUGAGAGGCAGAAAUUGAUUGGGAUCUUAGAGAGCAAAAUUACAGCAAUAACUUAAAAGAAACAAUAAUUACUGAAUCAUACCAGUGUCAGCACUCUGCAAAACACGAAAUAGCCAUCAAACCCCAAUCCAAUAUAUUCUGAAGCGAAUUUAUUGAAUGGAAAAAGCAGUUGAGUGAGGGUUUUUCUCCCCCCUCCUCCCCUUCCCCUGUACAUAUGGUUAUCUCAAAACCGCAAGUGAAUGAGUCGAUAAUUCUUGUCAUUGACUGCUCCAUUUUCACGGAGUCAGAGGAGAUCCAUUAGCUGCCUCCUGCUGCACCGUCUCCCUCUCUCCUCUCUCCUUCUCUCCAUCGCCUCUAUUCAUUUGCUAGUCUCUGCUCUUCAAGCAAACAAACAUGUAUAACUAAUCAUCUGUUAAAAUGCAGAGGGCCCCUAAUAAAUCUCUGCAGCUGAAAUACUUUAAUGGGUAAUUAAUUGAUCCUGUUCCAGAGGAGUAAUAAGAUAAUAAAUUAGACAAUAUUUCACUCAGUCGUGUCAGGCUCCUAGCUAAUGGCGCUGUAGGGCUAAGCUGAAGGAUAAUAAAUUAGCCAGAAAUUAACUGCUAAGAGCUUUCUGCAGAGAAAUCGGCUGACAAGUGAGUCACACGCGUGAUUCAGGGCCUGACUGGUGUUGUGGCGGAUCUCUGUGAAUAUGAACUUGCGCUUUGGGAGGGGGCCCCAUGGGGCGCUCCCAGCUGGGCUCUGGUAGGAUUCUGUUCCCAGGCUGAGAGAGUCUGUUGGGUAAUACCCAGAGCUUGUGAAACUGGCUAGGGCCCUUGCCUUGCACACCAAACGGGUUCCUGGGAGCCAUGAGCUCUUGAAAAUAGCUUCCCCCAAGCCAUCAGAUUCACUGAAUUUUUAUGGGUCUCACCCACUCUGACCAGUAGGGCUACUGAACACCUGUCGCCGCCAGGUUCCAUCUGUUGCUUCCCAAGCAAAUAUGCAAAUAAGGAAGGAUGGAGUCUUGGUAGAGGUGGAAAAGAGACUUGUGCCCUUGCAAAAAGGCUCUUGCAAAAGUUAAGCAGAAAAGUGAGCAGGAAGAAAGAGAGUGAAAUACAUUUUGUAGCAGGUAAGAGAUAUUUCUUACUAGUUCAGAUGGAGAAAAUCUCUUAGUUUUGUGGAGAAACUCAAGGAAGGUGAUAGCAAGUAUUAGGCAAGAAAAGACUUGGCCCUGGAAGGUCACGUGGGCCUUUGCUUGAGGGUAGAGGAAGCCAGCUUCUCCAUGGAGGCAGCUGGAGGGUAGCUGAGCAUGUGGUGAAACAUGGGGGGAUUAAAGAGAUUUGACUUCUUACUCUUUACUGGCUGUGUGACCUUGUGUAGGUUACUUACCUACCCUGAACUCUGGCUUGAUCCUCAGUAAAAGAGUGUUGAAUGAAUGACUCAAGAGAGGCUUGGAGUGUUGUGUCUCACUCAGAGCAGGUGCCAAUCUAGCAUUACUUAUUACAUGGAGUGCAGAGGGUAAGGUUAUUUAUAAGUGAGGGAGAUAGCAGAUAAAGAAAUGAGAGGGGGUGGUGGUAGGAGACAGUGGGUGAGCUUGAUCCUCUUUUUCUGGAAUAAGGACCAGAUUACUUGCACCCCACCAUAAAGAUGGUCCUAACUGGAUGUGCUCACCUUCUGGCAGACCAUCCCUCAUUGCUUCAUGGUAAAUAUGAGUCAAUUAAUCUUCCGCGUCACUAGUAGCAAUGGCAGUGUGGGUCGAAGGCAUCCAUAGAACUGGAUUAUUUAAAUGGGAUAAUGCAGAAUCAAAGAGAUUUAGAGACCAGAAAGGAGAAGAAAAACUCUAGACUGAUUCCCAGGUUUCUGGCUUGGGUGCCUGGUUGUAAUCCAUUCCACUUAGCAUCACCCAGAGUGGAACACUUGCCUUGCCUUCUGGCCACAGGGGCCAUUGAAAUUGUUUGCACUGAUCCUUGAAACCUGUCACUCACUCUUAUAGCCACCACUGCCUGAGGAUCCUGCUGCUUUGGCUUCACCGACUCAUCCUGUUCCUGAGUACAACAAAACAGUGCACCCCUCCCUUGUGCCACCUGCUUCCUGACCUUGGAGUUGUCUUGCUGCUGCUGGAGCAGGUAGCAAGCACUUUGACACCAGCUUGACACUCAUGUAUGUGCAUCCCUGGGGUCCAAGGGGGUUGAUGUCCUGGGAGAGGCAUAGUCUGACCAGUGGGUGGUGGCCACCAACAGAUAAAUUGUUCUCCUUUCUCCCUACUGGAUGAACUACUUGAAGAUGGGGUGGCUUCUAAUGACCUUUUGCAGAUAUCGUAUGACACAAAGGGAUCCAUUUCUCACAGGCCUGUGGCUGGCUCAUCGUGUGCUCCCUUCUACUUGCCCUCCCCACCUCUGUACCUCACCCCCUUCCCUAUUCCUGCUUCCUGGAGACUCACUCUCUAGUAAACACUAGCACUACAUACAUAUAUACACACACACAUACAUACUUACAUAAAGAAUUUAAGUGUGUAGUCAGUACCAGUUAUAUCACAUCAGCUUAUCAGCAGUGUGGUGUUGGCAUUCCUUGUCUGGUGACCAACCUGAGGCAGUGCUGGAAAGACAAGACCUUGCAUAGUCUCUGUUGGACUUCAGGGUGGCUGAAAACCACCUUGAGCAGCCCCUAUACUGCUCUCAUUCUGGGGGAGAUGCUGGGUCUCCUGGAGGAUCUUGACUAGAGGCCUGUAGCAGAACAGAUUCAGCCAGAACUGGGAACCAGAAACUGGAUUCUAACUGUGUAAAAGCAAAAGGGGUGGGUUGGGGGUGUGCUCAAUGUUUGAGUGCUUGCUUAGGGUAUACGAGGCCCUGGGUUCCAUCUGUAGCAACACACACACACACACACACACCUACCCACCCACCCACCCACCCACACACACACACGGAAGGAGAUUUCCAAGUAGAAAUGAUAAGAUCAGUACAGCUCAUAGCAAGGACCCAUUCACUGACAUAUCUUUUAAAAAUAAGUGUGUUUUCAUGUAUUUUAUUCCCUUAUGUGGAAUGUUUUCCUGGUCUCUCUCAGUCUAUUCUUGUGCUAUUUGCAUAUCUAGGCUCAGUUCUUUGUUCCUCAUGACCUCAGGAUUGGAAGAGAGGUUGAGGGCACCAUGCCUAACCUCAGCCCCUGAUAGAGCAGAAACAGGUGGCUGAGCCUGGAGGCCCAUUUUUGUGUGUCUGAAUCGUUAGAAAAUAGUUUCAAAGAUCCUCUCCGUGCCCUGUACAGAAGCACAUGGUAAAUUUACUUUCCUUUUUUUUAGAUAAUUGAUGACCAUGAUAUGACCCCUAAGCCUUCUCCUUUUUUCAGACUAAAUCUGCCUAGCUCCUUUAACCAUUAUGUGUGUACCAUUUCCCCUUCUUUUUAUUGUGAAGUAUAGCAUAUGCAAAGAAAAUAACCCAGACCACCAAGUACAGCUUGGUUGAUAAUACAAAGUGAUACCCAUGAAGGGAAAAGACACUGGUAGCUUUUUCUGGUGGUACUACCUGAAUCAGACCUCCCCACUCCUUCCAGAAUAUGUGCCACCUGACUUCUGUGCAAAUCAUUCAUUGCUUUUCAUAAAUUCUAUAAUUUAUGUACAGAUAUACUUCUGAGGUAUUGUGAGUUUGGUUCAAGACCAUUGCAAUAAAGUGACUAUCUCAAUAAAGCAAGUCAUAUGAUAUUUUGAUUUCCUAAUACAGAUAAAAAUAUCUUUACAUUCUACUAUAAUCUAUUAAGUGUUCAGUGAUAUUAUGUCUAAAAAAGCAAUGAACAAACUUGAUUAAAAUACUGUAUUUGUAAAAAAUGCUAAUAAUCAUUUAGGCUGAUGAAAAGAUAAUGCCAUUAGAUUUGCUGGAAGCAGGGUUGCCACAAACCUUUGAUUUGGUAAAAAACAAAACCCCCCAAAACAAAACAAAACAAAACAAAAAAACACUGGAAUUAUCUGUGAAGUGCAAUAAAGGGCAAUCAUUCCCAAAUCAUAUGGUUUAGCUUUGCCAGUUUUAAGUCUUCUGAAUUGUUCUUUUUUGCCUUCUUUGUUCAACCCUACGUUAAUGAGUGCUAUGCUUUGGAUGUGUGCCCCCAAAGUCCAUGCAUUGGAACCUUAAUUCCACAAUGAGGCAGUGUUGGAGGAGGGGCCUGGUGGAAGGUGCUUGCACGUUGAGGGUGGAUCCCUCAUUAAUGGGUUAAUACUUUGCUUGUAGGAAUGGGUGAGCUAUUACAGGAAUAUCCCCCCUUUCUCUCUUUGACAUGUGCUCCCUUAUCCUUCUGUUUUCUAUCAUGAAUUGAUGUAGUAUGAGGCUCUCACAAGAUGUGGUUGCCAGAUUUUGGACUUCCUGCCUCCAAAACUAUAAGCUGAAAUAAAACUAUUUUAUUUAUGAAUUAUACAAUCUUAGGUAUUGUGUUAUAGCAACAAAAAUGAACUAAGGCAUGGGAUUCAUCCAUGUUUUUGCUUGUUGCUGUAAUUGUUUCUAUUGACACAUAAUGUUUUGUAUAUUUUAUAUGUGAACAAAGAUGCAAUUUUGUUGAUACAUGAUAAUUUAUUGAUUGUUUCACAAUAUGAAUGUACUAUAAUUUACAUAUGUGUUCUAUAACUGAUAUGCUUCAAAGAUGGUUCUAGCUUGGGGCCCUUAUGAUGGAUAUUGAUCUCCGUGAGUUGUGAAAUGUCAUGCAUUUCACUAGGGUACAUACCUAGCAGCAGAUUUUUGAAUCAUAGAGCCUGCUCAUCUCUCACAUUACCAAACUGGUGUACAAAAUGAUUGUAUUACAUUGCAAAUCAACAGAGUAUGCAAGUUCUUGUGGUAGAAUGAAGCUGUGCUACCCAGCUCUGCUCCUUCAGGACUUUGCCUCCUCUGAAGAUCUGUGAAGUUCAGAUCUUAGCCUUGCUCUUCCCUGAACAGACUGGAUUUGGUGACUGUGUGAAGCAAGAAAACAAAGGCUUGGCCAUUUUUGACCACGUGGCAGAUUCCAAUGGGUGAUACUCCCCCAGAGCAUUGUGUCUGGGCUUUAUCAUCAUCACACUUUAGCUCCUCUUCCUCUGUUCAUGGGAACUGAUCCCAAGAAACAUUUCCCGCACCAAACUCUAACUCAGAGUUUGCUUUCUGAGAUCCCAGUCUGCAACUGCUGCUGUGACUCUUCGCCCUUGUCAACAUUUGAUAUUAACAGAAUUUGACAAGUUGGUAGAUAUUUAAGGUUAGCUCAUUGUGGUUUUUUUCUUAAGUGAAAAUUAAAUCUUAAAUUUAGAAAUGUUAAAAAUUUUAAAUUAUUGAGAUAUAAUUUACAUACUAUAAAAUAUUCCCCCUUUUGACACAUAUAGUUUGGUGAGUCAUGACAGCUGUAUUUUGUCAUGCAGUCACCACCACCACCAAGAUACAGAACAUUUCCAUCAUCCCCCAAGUUCCCUUGUGACCCUUUACAGUCAAUCCCCACCCUAGCCCUGUUCUGCUUUAGGUCACUGUAGUUUUGUCUUUUCCAGAUGCCUAAUAAAUGGAUUCAUCCAGAAUAUAUUUUUCUGUGUCUGGCUUCUUCCAUUUACCAGAAUGCUUUUGAGAUUCAGUGCAUAAAUACAUCAUGGUUUACCCAUUUUCUCAUUGAUAAAGAUUGGACUAUUUCUAAUAUUUGGAAAAAUAAUAUGAAUCAAACUUCUAAGACAACUUAGUAUGAGUCCUUUAUGCAGAUAUAUGCUUUCACUUCUCUUGGAUAAAUAUGCAGGAGUAGCACUGUUGGGUUAUAGGAUAGGGGUAAUUUUAACUGUAAGAAACCACCAACUAACUUCCAUUUUACACUUUAUAUACAAACAGUUUAUGAGAGUUUUAGUUACUUCACAUCCUUGCCAACACACAGUUUAUUCAGUCUUUUAAUUCCUUAGCUAUUCUAGUGUGCUAGCUCAUAUUUUAGUUUAUAGUUAAAUGAUGCAAAAUCAUGACAAGUAACAUGGAG
rnacentral:lncRNA from 1 species